GACGUAGGGCGCAAGCGUUGUCCGGAUUUAUUGGGCGUAAAGAGCUCGUAGGCGGCUCGUUGCGUCGGCUGUGAAAACCCGCAGCUCAACUGUGGGCUUGCAGCCGAUACGGGCGGGCUGGAGUUCGGUAGGGGAGACUGGAAUUCCUGGUGUAGCGGUGAAAUGCGCAGAUAUCAGGAGGAACACCGGUGGCGAAGGCGGGUCUCUGGGCCGAUACUGACGCUGAGGCGCGAAAGCUAGGGGAGCAAACGGG
rnacentral:rRNA from 1 species